rnacentral:lncRNA from 1 species
UGCUCCCUCCUCUAUUAGGGUCCCUCUUAAUUUUCAACAUGUUUCCAGCUUUCACGGAUAAUAAUGGAAAUAAGGGGUUAAUCUAUUAACCAAUUACAGGCAGCAAUAUUACAAGAUUAAGAUAUGAAGCUAGAUUUCUUUUUUUUCUUUUUUUUUUGAAGUACUUAAAGCUGUUGGAACAUGAUUAUUAGUUUCUGUUUGGUCAAAUUUACAUGGUAAGAUCAUUAAAUUAUUCUGAUUUGAAUCACAGUCCAAGCAAGAUCUUCCCAAGGCAGAGGAGUAUUACUCUCGAGCCAUUCUAGCAGAUCCUGGAGAUGGAGAAAUUCUAUCACAAUAUGCCAAGUUAGUGUGGGAGCUUCAUAAUGACCAAGACAGAGCUGCUACUUACUAUGAAAGAGCAGUCCACGCUUCCCCUGAAGAUAGGUAUAAAAGUUGUAUACAUGUAUAUCCAUACUCUCGAAUCCAAGUUAUUUUAUCAUUUCUAAAUUCAUAGUUCAGCUUCAUUUACCUGACAUUCACCCAUUUUUCAGCCAUGUUCAUGCAUCAUAUGCUGGUUUCCUCUGGGAAACAGAGGAAGACAAU